rnacentral:rRNA from 1 species
CGGUAAAACGCGCUGGAGGACCGAACCCACGUAAGUUGAAAAUUGCGGGGAUGAGUUGUGGGUAGCGGUGAAAUUCCAAACGAACUUGGAGAUAGCUGGUUCUCUCCGAAAUAGCUUUAGGGCUAGCCUCGCAAAGAGGAUGCUGGAGGUAGAGCUCUGUUUGGACUAGGGGCCCGUCAAGGGUUACUGAAUUCAGAUAAACUGCGAAUUCCAGACAUUUAUGUGCGGGAGUCAGACUGCGAGUGAUAAGAUCCGUAGUCGAAAGGGAAACAGCCCAGAUCACCAGUUAAGGUCCCAAAAUUCAUGCUAAGUGGAAAAGGAUGUGGAGUUGCGCAGACAACUAGGACGUUGGCUCAGAAGCAGCCAUCAUUCAAAGAGUGCGUAAUAGCUCACUAGUCGAGUGACGCCGCGCCGAAAAUUUACCGGGGCUAAGCAUGAUACCGAAACUGUGGAUGUGCAUUUAUGCACGUGGUAGGAGAGCGUUCUAGCGGCGGUGAAGCAUGACCGAGAGGACAUGUGGAGCUUCUAGAAGUGAGAAUGCCGGUAUGAGUAACGAAAGACAGGUGAGAAUCCUGUCCGCCGCAAGACUAAGGUUUCCUGGGGCAGGCUCGUCCGCCCAGGGUAAGUCGGGACCUAAGGCGAGGCCGAGAGGCGUAGUCGAUGGACAACAGGUUGAAAUUCCUGUACUGCACCGAAUCGUUAUGAGCGAUGGAGGGACGCAGGAGGCUAGCAGCGCGUGGUGCUGGAUACCACGUUCAAGCGUCAAGUCUGAGAGUGAGUCAAAUGCUUGCUCUCAUAAGGACAAGGCGUGAUGAGGAGCGAAAUUAAAGUAGCGAAGGCUGCGACGUCACACUGCCGAGAAAAGCUUCUAGCCAGAGACGGUGCACCCGUACCGCAAACCGACACAGGUAGUCGAGGAGAGUAUCCUCAGGUGAGCGAGAGAACUCUCGUUAAGGAACUCGGCAAAAUGGCCCCGUAACUUCGGGAGAAGGGGCGCUGGUCGCAAGAUCAGCCGCAGUGAAAAGGCCCAAGCAACUGUUUAUCAAAAACACAGGCAUCUGCAAAAUCGUAAGAUGAAGUAUAGGUGCUGACACCUGCCCGGUGCUGGAAGGUUAAGAGGAGAGCUUAGCGCAAGCGAAGGUUUGAAUUGAAGCCCCAGUAAACGGCGGCCGUAACUAUAACGGUCCUAAGGUAGCGAAAUUCCUUGUCGGGUAAGUUCCGACCUGCACGAAAGGUGUAAUGAUUUGGGCACUGUCUCAACGAGAGACUCGGUGAAAUUAUAAUACCCGUGAAGAUGCGGGUUACCCGCGACAGGACGGAAAGACCCCAUGGAGCUUUACUGCAGUUUAAUAUUGGGUAUCUGUCAAGCAUGUACAGGAUAGGUAGGAGCCGGAGAAGAUAGGACGCCAGUCUUAUCAGAGGCGCUGUUGGGAUACUACCCUUGCUUGACGGAUGCUCUAACUCAGGCCUGUGAUCCAGGCCGAGGACAGUGUUUGACGGGCAGUUUGACUGGGGCGGUCGCCUCCUAAAGUGUAACGGAGGCGCCCAAAGGUUCCCUCAGAAUGGUUGGAAAUCAUUCGCAGAGUGUAAAGGUAAAAGGGAGCUUGACUGCGAGAGAGACAACUCGAGCAGGUACGAAAGUAGGGCUUAGUGAUCUGGUGGUACCGUAUGGAAGGGCCAUCACUCAACGGAUAAAAGCUACCCUGGGGAUAACAGGCUUAUCUCCCCCAAGAGUUCACAUCGACGGGGAGGUUUGGCACCUCGAUGUCGGCUCGUCGCAUCCUGGGGCUGAAGUCGGUCCCAAGGGUUGGGCUGUUCGCCCAUUAAAGCGGCACGCGAGCUGGGUUCAGAACGUCGUGAGACAGUUCGGUCCCUAUCCGUCGUGGGCGCAGGAAAUUUGAGAGGAGCUGUCCUUAGUACGAGAGGACCGGGAUGGACGCACCGCUGGUGUACCAGUUGUCUUGCCAAAGGCAUCGCUGGGUAGCUAUGUGCGGACGGGAUAAGCGCUGAAAGCAUCUAAGUGCGAAGCCCCCCUCAAGAUGAGAUUUCCCAUUUCUUCAAGAAAGUAAGACACCUCAGAGACGAUGAGGUAGAUAGGCCGGGAGUGGAAGAGCCGUGAGGCUUGGAGCGGACCGGUACUAAUCAGUCGAGGACUUGACCAAAA